CUGACGUUACCGGGGCGGAGCGGGCGGCAGGAAGAGGAAGCGGCGCUUAUCGCCGUGUUGAAGCGUAGAACCGAACCGAGCGGAACCGGGAUGUCGCUGCGGGGCUGGGCGCUGGCCGUGCUGGCCGCUCUGACCCCGGCGGAGCGCAGCCGGCCCUACGCUGUGCUGCAGAAACAGAACCUGGUGCUGCUGGGCAGCAUCCUCAGCGCCCUGCUGCUCACCAUCGUCCUCAUGGCUGUCUGCGUCUACAAACCCGUCCGCCGGCGGUAGCAUCCCACGGCUCCAGGACAUCCCCAUCACCCGCACGGAGCGACACCCGGUUCCGCUUCUGCUUCGUGGUGAUGGCGAUCCCAGCGCUCAGCAUCGGAGCAUCGGGGAGCAGCCAUGGACAAGGAGCCCGGCCCAGCCCCUACACAUGGGGCAGCGGGGGGCUCAGCUGUGCAGCUACAGCCGGAUCCACCCCCUGCAGCUUUGGGUAACAAAGUCAGGGUUUACACUGAAGUCACACCACGUGCAUCUGGAUGCUGCUAUUUUUGUGUUCUGUUUUGCACUGGCCGGGAGUAGUAACUGGAUUUUGCUUCUUAUUACGUUGGUAUUUAACAUAAUGGGGGCAGGGGUAGUAAUUUAUUUUAGGCUUUUAAAACCAUGCUUCUAAUGUUGGUCAGCUCUGCAAGCCCUCACUCCUGCUUUGUUAAGGGCAGGGAGCUGGGGAUUCCCUUUGCUGCUGCUCUAUGUGUCAGUAAAUGAGCCUGGCCUGGAAUAGACCUCAUUUCUAACCUUAGUGAAGCACAAAUGAGGGAGCAAACAACUGCAGGAUGUUUCUUUCCGAUCCUCUCCUUAGCUGCAGAGCUCUGGCUUCGUUGGUUUCUACAUCCUUUGUUCCACAUAACACUGUGCCCAUAGCUGUGUGCUUGUUGGUGGGUGUAGCUCUGAGCUCCCUGCGGCAGCGUUGUUUGCAUUCAUUCUUCACCCCCUGCUCUGUCUCUCUCUGUACAAAUAAAAGAGAAGCAAACACUG